UACGGAGGGGGCUAGCGUUGUUCGGAAUUACUGGGCGUAAAGCGCGCGUAGGCGGACCUGCAAGUCGGGGGUGAAAGCCCGAGGCUCAACCUCGGAACUGCCUUCGAUACUGCGGGUCUCGAGUCCGGGAGAGGUGAGUGGAAUUCCUAGUGUAGAGGUGAAAUUCGUAGAUAUUAGGAAGAACACCAGUGGCAAAGGCGGCUCACUGGCCCGGUACUGACGCUGAGGCGCGAAAGCGUGGGGAGCAAACAGG
rnacentral:rRNA from 1 species